rnacentral:rRNA from 1 species
UAGGGAAUCUUCCACAAUGGACGAAAGUCUGAUGGAGCAACGCCGCGUGAGUGAAGAAGGUUUUCGGAUCGUAAAGCUCUGUUGUUGGUGAAGAAUGAUAGAGGCAGUAACUGGUCUUUAUUGACGGUAAUCAACCAGAAAGUCACGGCUAACUACGUGCCCAC